UCUGGUGUCUGCAGCCGCGGUAAUUCCAGCUCCAAUAGUGUAUAUUUAACUGGUUGUUUGGCGGUGAUUCGGUAAAUUCAAAUAACAUCCCACGUUAGUAGUUUGUACGUAGUGAGGUGUUAGGACUAUGAGGCAGCUAGGAACCUAAGCGAUAGUCUUGUUCUAAUCUAGCGAGUCAUGAGAUCCUUCUAAUGAGAUAUGUGUCUCAAAAGUUUCAGUUAGUGAUGUAGCAGAGUCGGAAACGAUUCCAACUUCAGCCAGUCGAUGCCAUGGACGCUGGUUUGAUUUGAGAUAGAGGGGACCGAACUGAUUGGUUCCUAUAAAGGCACUGCUAUGAUCACAUAGUAGAGUGAAACAUCGGUAUAAAACCGAAUUGGAUGCUGAGUCGAUUCCGGAUGAUGAUUCCUGUCUGCAGCACCGACUCUUGUCUAUACAACAAACAUAAUUUUGAAAAAGAGUUUGAAUAUAUAUAUAUAUAUAUAUAUAUAUAUAUAUAUAUAUAUAUAUAUCCGCCCCCUUUUUUUUUUCUUUUUUUUUUUUGCAGGGUCCCGAAGUGAAGGGGAUAGGGAUAUGGUGCCCGUGAUUUUUGCGUUGCAGUUAAAACACUCGUAGUUGGAUUUUGGGUGGGAGUGGUUGGUCCGCUCUUGCGGGCGUGUACCGGCCCUUUCGCCUUUCUUGCCGGGUAUGCGUUCCUUGCCUUUAUUGGCUAGGAUUCAGAGUCGGCGCUGUUACUUUGAAAAAAUUAGAGUGUUCAAAGCAGGCCUGUGCUCUGAACAUAUUAGCAUGGAAUAACGCGAUAGGACUCUGGUCCUAUUUCGUUGGUCUUCGGGAUUGGAGUAAUGAUUAAUAGAGACNAACGCGAUAGGACUCUGGUCCUAUUUCGUUGGUCUUCGGGAUUGGAGUAAUGAUUAAUAGAGACGGUUGGGGGCAUUCGUAUUCCAUUGUCAGAGACUCAGAGGUGAAAUUCUUGGAUUUAUGGAUGACGAACUUCUGCGAAAGCAUUUAGGAAGGACGUUCUUAUUAAUCAAGAACGAAGGUUGGGGGAUCGAAGACGAUCAAAUACCGUCCCAGUCUCAGCCAUAAACGAUGUCGACUAGGGAUUGGCGGAUGUCUAUCGGAUGACUCUGCCAGCACCUUGUGAGAAAUCAAAGUUUACGGGUUCCGGGGGGAGUAUGGUCACAAGGAUGAAACUUAAAGGAAUUGUCGGAAGGGCACCACCAGGCGUGGAGUCUGCGACUUAAUUUGACUCAACAAGGGGAAACUCACCAGGUCCAGACAUAGCAAGGAUUGACAGAUUGAGAGCUCUUUCUUGAUUCUAUGGGUGGUGGUGCAUGGCCGUUCUUAGUUGGUGGAGUGAUUUGUCUGRUUAAUUCCGUUAACGAACGAGACCUUAGCCUGCUAAAUAGCUACAUGGGGACCUUUCCUCGUGGCAAGCUGCUUAGAGGGACUGUUGGACGACUAGCCAAYGGAAGUUUGAGGCAAUAACAGGUCUGUGAUGCCCUUAGAUGUUCUGGGCCGCACGCGCGCUACAYUGAUGAAUCCAACGAGUCGCUUGCCUGGGUUGAAAGGCCCGGGUAACCUUCUUAAGGUUCAUCGUGACGGGGAUAGAUUGUUGUAAUUAUCGAUCUUGAACGAGGAAUGCCUAGUGAGCGCGAGUCAUCAGCUCGUGCUGAUUACGUCCCUGCCCUUUGUACACACCGCCCGUCGCUCCUACCGAUUGAAUGGUCCGGURAAGUGUCUGGAUUGCGGUGAUCUCGGCGGUUUACCUCUGGGGGUGUUGUGAGAAGUUCAUUGCACCUUAUCAUUUAGAGGAAGGAAAGUCGUAACAAGGUUUCCGUAGGUGAACCUGCGGAAG
rnacentral:rRNA from 1 species